rnacentral:rRNA from 1 species
UACGUAGGGUGCGAGCGUUGCCCGGAUUCAUUGGGCGUAAAGGGCGCGUAGGCGGCUACGCACGUCCGUUGUGAAAUCGCUCGGCUCAACUGGGCGGGGUCAGCGGAUACGGCGUAGCUGGAGCAAGCUAGGGGGCAAUGGAAUUCCCGGUGUAGUGGUGGAAUGCGUAGAUAUCGGGAGGAACACCAGUGGCGAAGGCGGUUGCCUGGAGCUUUGCUGACGCUGAUGCGCGAAAGCGUGGGGAGCGAUCCGG